UACGGAGGGUGCAAGCGUUAUCCGGAUUCACUGGGUUUAAAGGGUGCGUAGGGGGAUUAGUAAGUCAGUGGUGAAAUCUCCGGGCUUAACCCGGAAACUGCCAUUGAUACUAUUAGUCUUGAAUACCGUGGAGGUCAGCGGAAUAUGUCAUGUAGCGGUGAAAUGCUUAGAUAUGACAUAGAACACCAAUUGCGAAGGCAGCUGGCUACACGAGCAUUGGCACUCAGGCACGAAAGCGUGGGGAUCAAACAGG
rnacentral:rRNA from 1 species